UACGUAGGGUGCAAGCGUUAAUCGGAAUCACUGGGCGUAAAGCGUGCGCAGGCGGUUUUGUAAGUCUGUCGUGAAAGCCCCGGGCUCAACCUGGGAAUUGCGAUGGAGACUGCAAGGCUUGAAUCUGGCAGAGGGGGGUAGAAUUCCACGUGUAGCAGUGAAAUGCGUAGAGAUGUGGAGGAACACCGAUGGCGAAGGCAGCCCCCUGGGUCAAGAUUGACGCUCAUGCACGAAAGCGUGGGGAGCGAACAGG
rnacentral:rRNA from 1 species